rnacentral:rRNA from 3 species
AAAAUGACUCUCCGCAGCGGAUAUCUCAGCUCUCGCAUCGAUGAAGAACGUAGCGAAAUGAGAUAAUUGGUGUGAAUUGCAUAUUCCCGUGAACCACCGAGUCUUUGAACGCAAGUUGCGCCCGACCCCAUUAGGCUGAAGGCACAUUUGCCUGGGUGUCACGC